AUGUUUGGCUUGCAGUGUGUUCCAUCGUGCAUCCUAACCUUUAGAGUGUUGGAUCUUCCACGUCAACUAAUGAGGUGUGAUCCAAUGCUCCAUAUUUUUUCUGAUUUUAAUUCUUUUUCUUUUAUAAUUUUUAAAUUCUUAGUAAUUUCAUUUUUUUAUCCAAAAAAUCCCAAAAUAAUUUCUAAAAUUCUCUUUUAUUUUUCUUCAUCUGAUUUUUA
rnacentral:lncRNA from 1 species